rnacentral:rRNA from 1 species
GAUGAACGCUAGCUACAGGCUUAACACAUGCAAGUCGAGGGGAAACGACAUCGAAAGCUUGCUUUUGAUGGGCGUCGACCGGCGCACGGGUGAGUAACGCGUAUCCAACCUGCCCAUCACUUGGGAAUAACCUUGCGAAAGUAAGACUAAUACCCAAUGACAUCCCACGAAGACAUCUGAAUGGGAUUAAAGAUUUAUCGGUGAUGGAUGGGGAUGCGUCUGAUUAGCUUGUUGGCGGGGUAACGACCCACCAAGGCAACGAUCAGUAGGGGUUCUGAGAGGAAGGUCCCCCACAUUGGAACUGAGACACGGUCCAAACUCCUACGGGAGGCAGCAGUGAGGAAUAUUGGUCAAUGGGCGAGAGCCUGAACCAGCCAAGUAGCGUGCAGGAUGACGGCCCUAUGGGUUGUAAACUGCUUUUAUAAGGGAAUAAAGUGGGUCUCGUGAGACUUUUUGCAUGUACCUUAUGAAUAAGGACCGGCUAAUUCCGUG